rnacentral:rRNA from 1 species
AACUUUCAACAACGGAUCUCUUGGCUCUCGCAUCGAUGAAGAACGCAGCGAAAUGCGAUAAGUAAUGUGAAUUGCAGAUUUCAGUGAAUCAUCGAAUCUUUGAACGCACCUUGCGCUCCUUGGUAUUCCGAGGAGCAUGCCUGUUUGAGAGUCA